UACGUUCCCGGACCUUGUACACACCGCCCGUCAAGCCAUGGGAGUUGGGAGGACCUGAAGCCAGUUGCUGUAAGGCGCUGUUUAGGGUUAAACCGAUGACUAGGGCUAAGUCGUAACAAGGUACCC
rnacentral:rRNA from 1 species